ACUAGACCUAGCCCAAAGAUACCCUCUCGACUAAACAACCAAG
rnacentral:rRNA from 1 species